rnacentral:rRNA from 1 species
AGAGUUUGAUCAUGGCUCAGAUUGAACGCUGGCGGUAUGCUAAACACAUGCAAGUCGAACGGUAGCAGGCCUUCGGGCGCUGACGAGUGGCGGACGGGUGCGUAACGCGUAGGAAUCUGCCUGUUAGUGGGGGACAACGUGGGGAAACUCACGCUAAUACCGCAUACGCCCUACGGGGGAAAGCGGGGGCUCUUCGGACCUCGCGCUAACAGAUGAGCCUGCGUUGGAUUAGCUAGUUGGUAGGGUAAAGGCUUACCAAGGCGACGAUCCAUAGCUGGUCUGAGAGGACGAUCAGCCACACUGGGACUGAGACACGGCCCAGACUCCUACCGGAGGCAGCAGUGGGGAAUAUUGGACAAUGGGCGCAAGCCUGAUCCAGCAAUACCGCGUGUGUGAAGAAGGCCUGAGGGUUGUAAAGCACUUUCAAUAGGGAGGAACACCGGCCGGCGAAUACCCGGUCGCUUGACAUUACCUAUAGAAGAAGCACCGGCUAACUCCGUUCCAGCAGCCGCGGUAAUACGGAGGGUGCGAGCGUUAAUCGGAAUUACUGGGCGUAAAGCGUGCGUAGGCGGUUUGUUAAGUCAGAUGUGAAAGCCCCGGGCUUAACCUGGGAACGGCAUUUGAAACUGAUAGACUAGAGUUGGGUAGAGGGGAGUGGAAUUUCAGGUGUAGCGGUGUAAUGCGUAGAUAUCUGAAGGAACACCAGUGGCGAAGGCGGCUCCCUGGACCCAAACUGACGCUGAGGCACGAAAGCGUGGGUAGCAAACAGGAUUAGAUACCCUGGUAGUCCACGCCGUAAACGAUGCCAACUAGCCGUUGGCCCUUUCUCAAGGGCAAGUGGCGCAGCUAACGCAUUAAGUUGACCGCCUGGGGAGUACGGCCGCAAGGUUAAAACUCAGAUGAAUUGACGGGGGCCCGCACAAGCGGUGGAGCAUGUGGUUUAAUUCGAUGCAACGCGAAGAACCUUACCUACCCUUGACAUCCAGAGAAUCUGUUAGAGAUAGUAGAGUGCCUUCGGGAGCUCUGAGACAGGUGCUGCAUGGCUGUCGUCAGCUCGUGUUGUGAAAUGUUGGGUUAAGUCCCGUAACGAGCGCAACCCUUGUCCUUAGUUGCCAGCGGGUCAUGCCGGGAACUCUAGGGAGACUGCCGGUGAUAAGCCGGAGGAAGGUGGGGACGACGUCAAGUCAUCAUGGCCCUUAUGGGUAGGGCUACACACGUGCUACAAUGGCCGGUACAGAGGGCUGCGAACUUGCAAAAGUAAGCCAAUCCCAGAAAGCCGGUCUUAGUCCGGAUUGGAGUCUGCAACUCGACUCCAUGAAGUCGGAAUCGCUAGUAAUCGCAAAUCAGAAUGUCGCGGUGAAUACGUUCCCGGGCCUUGUACACACCGCCCGUCACACCAUGGGAGUGGGUUGCAAAAGAAGUGGGUAGUCUAACCUUUUAGGAGGGCGCUCACCACUUUGUGAUUCAUGACUGGGGUGAAGUCGUAACAAGGUA